UCCUACGGGAGGCAGCAGCGGGGAAUCCUGGACAAUGGGCGCAAGCCUGAUCCAGCCAUGCCGCGUGAGUGAUGAAGGCCUUAGGGUCGUAAAGCUCUUUCGCCAGAGAUGAUAAUGACAGUAUCUGGUAAAGAAACCCCGGCUAACUCCGUGCCAGCAGCCGCGGUAAUACGGAGGGGGUUAGCGUUGUUCGGAAUUACUGGGCGUAAAGCGCGCGUAGGCGGAUUAGUCAGUUAGAGGUGAAAUCCCGGGGCUCAACCCCGGAAUUGCCUUUAAUACUGCUAGUCUUGAGUUCGAGAGAGGCGAGUGGAAUUCCAUGUGUAGCGGUGAAAUGCGUAGAUAUAUGGAGGAACACCGGUGGCGAAAGCGGCUCACUGGCUCGAUACUGACGCUGAGGUACGAAAGUGUGGGGAGCAAACAGGAUUAGAUACCCUGGUAGUCCACACCGUAAACGAUGAAUGCCAGUCGUCGGGUAGCAUGCUAUUCGGUGACACACCUAACGGAUUAAGCAUUCCGCCUGCGGAGUACGGUCGCAAGAUUAAAACUCAAAGGAAUUGACGGAAU
rnacentral:rRNA from 1 species